GUCUUGUAAUUGGAAUGAUGGUGACCCAAACCCUCACCAGAGUAGCAAUUGGAGGGCAAGUCUGGUGCCAGCAGCCGCGGUAAUUCCAGCUCCAAUAGCGUAUAUUAAACUUGUUGCAGUUAAAAAGCUCGUAGUUGAAUUUUAGCGUGGCCGGGUUUGCCAUUCGUUUGGCUUUUUUGGCUUCGCUUUUGGGUUUUCCCUUUUUACUUUGAGAAAAUUAGAGUGUUUCAAGCAGGCUUUUGUCUUGAAUACUUCAGCAUGGAAUAAUAGAGUAGGACUUUGGUUCUAUUUUGUUGGUUAUUGAACCUUGGUAAUGGUUAAUAGGAACGGUUGGGGGCAUUCGUAUUUAACUGUCAGAGGUGAAAUUCUUAGAUUUGUUAAAGACGAACUACUGCGAAAGCAUUUGCCAAGGACGUUUCCAUUAAUCAAGAAC
rnacentral:rRNA from 1 species